rnacentral:lncRNA from 1 species
CUCCCAUCCCAUCCUCCCAAGCCACCCACCGACCUCCCAUCCCAUCCCCCAACCACCCCCGAAGGAGCUUGAGGCAUUCCAUGAGGGAUCAUCAAAAUAUGCUAAGUCAUUUCGGGAAGGACCUGAGCCCUCCUCUAAGUAUCCAGGCUAAGAGAGUAUCUCUCCAUGGGGAAUGGGCUCCCAAAGUCCAUUUGUGCACUGUGGAUACAUACUGCUUCCACUGCCAGAGGCUCCAUAGACUGUCCAGGGGGCCUGGUUUGGUCUUAUGUUGGUUCCCCAGCUAUCAGACUGGUGUCCAUGAGUUCCCACUUGCUCAAGUCAGCUGUUUCUGUGGGUUUUCCCAGCAUGGUCUUUACCCCUUUGUUCAUCAUUCCUCCCUCUCUACAACUGGAUUCCAGGAGUUCAGCUCCUUGCCAAGCUGUGUGUGGAUCUCUGCUUCUGCUUCCAUUAGGUACUGGAUGAAGGCUCUAGGAUGGCAUUUAAGGGUAUCUCUGUGAAGUCCUGGCUGUCCUGGAACUCAUUCUGUAGACCAGUGCUGGAGUUAAAGCCAGAACCUGGAAGCAACCUAGAUGCCCCUCAGCUGAAUAAUUGAUGGAGAAAAUGUGGUACAUUUAUACCAUGGAGUGCUUAACAGUGGGAAAAAAAUGGAAUUGUGAUACUCGUAGGCAAAUGGAUGGAACUAGAAGAAACCAACUUAGUGAGAUAGCAUUAGACGAUGACUCAAAAAUGGACCUCUUCAGGAUCAACCCUCAGAUAUCCAGCCAUCUGUGACUAAAUUAUAAUUUUUUAAACUUCUCUAAUAUUAAUACAUCAUACUUUGUUUUAACAUAAUUCUUAAUGUAGAAUUUAUGAGUGAAAGAGUGUUUUUGAGUUUAAAGCCAUCUGAAAAAUAAUGUCAAAUUGCAUUCAGUUAUUGCUGUAAGGCAAAGGACACAGUCAGGAGACAAAAUGGCAGCCCACAGACUGGGAAAAGACAUUCACCAACCCCACAUCUGACAGAGGGCUGAUUUCCAAAAUAUGCAAAGAACUCAAGAAGCUCGUCUUCAAAACACCCAACAAUCCAAUUAAAAACUGGGGUACAGAACUAAAUAGACAAUUCUCAACAGAGGAAUCCAAAAUGGCUGAAAAACACAUAAGUGUUCAACAUCCUUAGCCAUCAGGAAAAUGCAAAUUAAAACAAUUCUGAGAUACCAUUUUACUCCUUUUAGAAUGACUAAAAUCAAAAAUAAC